rnacentral:lncRNA from 1 species
UGAUGGGAGGGGCUGCCUCAGUGGUCUCUGAAAUGCCCAGGAGACAUUUUCCCCAUUGUCUUGGCUAUUUAACUCUUCUUUACUUAUGCAAACUUCUGCAGCAGGCUUGAAUUUCUCCCCAGAAAAUGGAUUUUUCUUUUCUACCACAUGGCCAGGCUGCAAAUUUUCUAAACUUAUAUGCUGUACUUCCCUUUUAAAUGUAAGUUCCAGUUUCAGAUCAUCUCUUUGUUCAUGCAUAUGAGCAUACACUUUUAGAAACAGCCAGUUUACCUCCUGAAUGCUUUGCUGCUUAGAAAUUUCUUCCAGCAGAUACCCUAAAUCAUCUCUCUCAAGUUCAAAGUUCCACAGAUCUCUAGGGCAGGGGAAAAAAUGCUACCAGUAUCUUUGCUAAAGCAUAGCAAGAGUGACCUUUACUCUAGUUCUCAAUAAGUUCCUCAUCUCCAUCUGAGACCACUUGAGUCUGGACUUCAUUGUCCAUAUCACUAUCAGCAUUCUCAUCAAAACAAUUCAACAAAUCUUCAUGAAGUUCCAAACUUUCCCACGUCUUCCUGUCUUCUUCUGAGCUUUCCGAACUGUUCCAACCUCUGCCUGUUACCCAGUUCCAAAGUUGCUUCCACAUUUUCAGAUAUCUUUAUAGCUGUUAUAAAUAAUUUUCUGUAUAGUCCAUUUUCACACUGCUAUAAAGAGCUGCCUGAGACUGAGUAAUUUGUGAAGAAAAGAGGUUUAAUUCACUCACAGUUCUGCAGGCUUAACAGGAAGCAUGGCUGGAAAGCCUCAGGAAACUUACAAUCAUGGCAGAACUUAAAGGGGAAGCAAGCGUGUCUUACCAUGGCAGAGCAGGAGAGAGAAAGAGUGAAGGGGAAGUGCCACACACUUUCAAACAACCAGAUCGCAUGAGAAUUCACUCACAGUCAAGAACAGCAAUGGGGAAGUCCAUGCCCAUGAUUCAAUCACCUCUCACCAGACCCCUCCCCUGACAUGUGGGGAUUAAAAUUCAAGAUGAGAUUUGGGUGGGGAUGCAGAGCCAAACCAUAUCACAUGGUCAACACAAGCUUCUUGGUGAUGCCCCAAACUUCAGAACCAGUUAAAGGUUUACCAUCAGCCAGAAGAGCUGUGGGAAUGAGCCUCCCAGAAAGAAGAGAUGGAAGGUGUUUGGCAUCUGCAGUGAUGAUGAUGAUGAUGAUCAUGAUCAUGAUCAUGAUGCUGGCUAAAUGCCGACUCUGAGCCCUGCAUGAUGGCACCACAAAACUGCGCCCCUGCCUGAUUUCAUUUCAGCAAGCUUUACUGUGAAGUGUUUAUGUGCCAGGUACCAUGUGUAGAAGCGCUGGCCCAGAGAUGAAGAUGAAGUUUCUAUCCUUAAGGCAUGCAAUGUGGGAGAUGAACAGAGACAGGCAAGAGAGCCACAGAAGAGAAAGUGAUGUGAAGACAGAAGCAGGGAUUGGAGUGAUCCAUCUACAAGCCAAGAAAUACCAAUGGUUGCUGCCAGCCACCAGGAUCUAGGAGAGUGGCAUGGAACAGAUUUUCCCUUAGAGCUUCCAGAAAGAACUAACCCUGUCAACACUGUGAUUCUGGACAGUGAGAGAGAAAUUUCUAUUGUUUUAAGCCAUCAAGUUUGUGGUAAUUUGUUAUGGCAACCGUAGGAAACAUCACCCAGUAAAUCCAAAUUAAAUAUUAUCCCAAUUUUUGCUUGAUACCAGAAAUGGCUGUAGUGUUUCAACACCCUCUAGCAUAAGAGAAUUGUAACAGGGGAAGCUGGUGUGGAAACAGACAGCAGUCUGAACCAGUUUGGACAAAAAUACUGGUCUUGCAAAUUUUAGAAAAAGCACACAACCUCUGAACACAUGACUAGGGCCCCUUCCAGGAACUUAGAAGGGGCCCGGCCGAGGGAGAGUCCCUGAAGCUUAUGUUUAAUACAUUUUACAGAAGAGCUGCCUCGGUGUAGGAAGCAGUGUAGUGUUGCGAAGACAAGCUCUGGAGCCAGACACCCUGGGUUCAAAUCCCAAUUUCGCAACUGUCUAGCUGUUGACUUGAGAGAAGUUACUUAGCCUUUCUGCGCCCCAAUUUCUUCCUUCGUAAAAUAUAAAUGGCAGUAGCACUAUCUGCCUCAUAGGGUUGUUUACCUGGUGAAGUAACAUGAUACACAUAAGGCAC